rnacentral:rRNA from 1 species
UACGUAGGGUCCGAGCGUUAAUCGGAAUUACUGGGCGUAAAGCGUGCGCAGGCGGUUUUGUAAGCCAGAUGUGAAAUCCCCGGGCUUAACCUGGGAACUGCAUUUGGGACUGCAAGGCUCGAGUACGGCAGAGGGAGGUGGAAUUCCACGUGUAGCAGUGAAAUGCGUAGAGAUGUGGAGGAACACCGAUGGCGAAGGCAGCCUCCUGGGCCAGUACUGACGCUC